rnacentral:lncRNA from 1 species
CUGGGGUGUGCCAGAGUUCUGUCCGCGGGGGAGUGUUGAUAUCUCGUCCAGAACUCCUGCAUAUCGUAGUUUGGCGGGAUACCUGUACUGGUUCUGGAGCGGAUUUCCGAGAUACACUUUGUAUUUAUGGCAGGGUCUUGCCUUUUAUCCUCGCUCUAAUCCCAGACCUAUGUAACGUAUAACGAGGUGAUCGCUCUGUAUUCGCUGCUUAGUUUUCAACAACUUUGGAUGGAUGGAUGUUACAAGCUUCAGCGAGCUCGUACGGCCCAAACGAACCCGGAGGCUCAUGAACCGCUUUGACAGCGCCGUCGAUAGGGAAAAGAAAAAGAGAAAAAGUAAACGAAACAAACAUAACAAACAACAGAAAAAGAAAGUUUUACGCAAGAAGAAAACGGGUGUUUAUGAGAAAGAACAGCGUCAAUUUGACUCUGACACACAAUUGCCUGUUACUGCCGAGAAAGUUAGGUAGUUAGGUGCUCAUGCCGGGAGCGAAACAUCUCACUUGCAUGAUAUCACGGAUGUUCGCAUUGACGGGCGCACCGAGGUCCCAGAGCUUCUGACGCGCAGACACAAUCGCCGGACAUUCUACCAAGAAGUGUUUCUCAUCCUCAAUAGCUCCAUUGCUACGACACACAGCGCACACGCGGUGCUCCCUAGCCCUGUUGCUCUCACUGUUAAC